rnacentral:rRNA from 1 species
AGUGAACGCUGGCGGCAGGCCUAACACAUGCAAGUCGAACGGCAGCACAAGAGAGCUUGCUCUCUGGGUGGCGAGUGGCGGACGGGUGAGGAAUGCAUCGGAAUCUGCCCAUUUGUGGGGGAUAACCUCGGGAAACCGGGACUAAUACCGCAUACGACCUACGGGUGAAAGCAGGGGAUCUUCGGAACUUGCGCAGCUGGAUGAGCCGAUGCCGGAUUAGCUAGUUGGAGGGGUAAAGGCCCACCAAGGCGACGAUCCGUAGCUGGUCUGAGAGGAUGAUCAGCCACACUGGGACUGAGACACGGCCCAGACUCCUACGGGAGGCAGCAGUGGGGAAUAUUGGACAAUGGGCGCAAGCCUGAUCCAGCCAUGCCGCGUGUGUGAAGAAGGCCUUCGGGUUGUAAAGCACUUUUGUUAGGAAAGAAAAGCAGCCGGUUAAUACCCUGUUGUCAUGACGGUACCCAAAGAAUAAGCACCGGCUAACUUCGUG